AUUGAACGCUGGCGGCAGGCCUAACACAUGCAAGUCGAGCGGAGGAAGGGAGCUUGCUCCUGGAUUCAGCGGCGGACGGGUGAGUAAUGCCUAGGAAUCUGCCUGGUAGUGGGGGAUAACGUCCGGAAACGGGCGCUAAUACCGCAUACGUCCUGAGGGAGAAAGUGUGGGAUCUUCGGACCUCACGCUAUCAGAUGAGCCUAGGUCGGAUUAGCUAGUUGGUGGGGUAAAGGCCUACCAAGGCGACGAUCCGUAACUGGUCUGAGAGGAUGAUCAGUCACACUGGAACUGAGACACGGUCCAGACUCCUACGGGAGGCAGCAGUGGGGAAUAUUGGACCAUGGGCGAAAGCCUGAUCCAGCCAUGCCGCGUGUGUGAAGAAGGUCUUCGGAUUGUAAAGAACUUUAAGUUGGGAGGAAGGGCAGUAAGUUAAUACCUUGCUGUUUUGACGUUACCAACAGAAUAAGCACCGGCUAACUUCGUG
rnacentral:rRNA from 1 species